UACGUAGGUGGCAAGCGUUGUCCGGAAUUAUUGGGCGUAAAGCGCGCGCAGGCGGUCCUUUAAGUCUGAUGUGAAAGCCCGGGGCUCAACCCCGGAGGGUCGGCUGAUACUGCAGGACUAGAGUACGGAAGAGGUAGCUGGAAUUCCCGGUGUAGCAGUGAAAUGCGUAGAUAUCGGGAGGAACACCUGAGGCGAAGGCGGGCUACUGGGCCGAUACUGACGCUGAGGCGCGAAAGCCAGGGGAGCAAACGGG
rnacentral:rRNA from 1 species